CCUACGGGAGGCAGCAGUGAGGAAUAUUGCACAAUGGGCGAAAGCCUGAUGCAGCAACGCCGCGUGAGGGACGAAGGCCUUCGGGUCGUAAACCUCUUCUCUGGGGGACGAGAUCAGGACGGUACCUCAGGAAUAAGUCUCGGCUAACUACGUGCCAGCAGCCGCGGUAAAACGUAGGAGGCGAGCGUUAUCCGGAUUUACUGGGCGUAAAGCGCACGCAGGCGGUUCCGUUAGUCGGACGUGAAAGCUCCUGGCUUAACUGGGAGAGGCCUUUCGAUACUGCGGGACUCGAGGUUGGGAGAGGAGAGUGGAAUUCCCGGUGUAGUGGUGGAAUGCGUAGAGAUCGGGAGGAACACCUGUGGCGAAAGCGGCACUCUGGCCCACACCUGACGCUGAGGUGCGAAAGCGUGGGUAGCAAACAGGAUUAGAUACCCUGGUAGUCCACGCUGUAAACGAUGUCAACUAGGUGUCGGUGGUUUUACACCAUCGGUGCCGUAGCAAACGCGUUAAGUUGACCGCCUGGGGACUACGGCCGCAAGGCUAAAACUCAAAGGAAUUGACGG
rnacentral:rRNA from 1 species